rnacentral:rRNA from 1 species
ACGAACGCUGGCGGCACGCUUAACACAUGCAAGUCGAACGAGAGAAGAGGAGCUUGCUUUUCUGAUCUAGUGGCGGACGGGUGAGUAACACGUGAGCAAUCUGCCUUUCAGAGGGGGAUACCGAUUGGAAACGAUCGUUAAUACCGCAUAACAUAAUUGAACCGCAUGAUUUGAUUAUCAAAGAUUUAUCGCUGAAAGAUGAGCUCGCGUCUGAUUAGCUAGUUGGUAAGGUAACGGCUUACCAAGGCGACGAUCAGUAGCCGGACUGAGAGGUUGAUCGGCCACAUUGGGACUGAGACACGGCCCAGACUCCUACGGGAGGCAGCAGUGGGGAAUAUUGCACAAUGGAGGAAACUCUGAUGCAGCGAUGCCGCGUGAGGGAAGAAGGUUUUAGGAUUGUAAACCUCUGUCUUCAGGGACGAAAAAAGACGGUACCUGAGGAGGAAGCUCCGGCUAACUACGUGCCAGCAGCCGCGGUAAUACGUAGGGAGCGAGCGUUGUCCGGAAUUACUGGGUGUAAAGGGAGCGUAGGCGGGAUCGCAAGUCAGAUGUGAAAACUAUGGGCUUAACCCAUAAACUGCAUUUGAAACUGUGGUUCUUGAGUGAAGUAGAGGUAAGCGGAAUUCCUAGUGUAGCGGUGAAAUGCGUAGAUAUUAGGAGGAACAUCAGUGGCGAAGGCGGCUUACUGGGCUUUAACUGACGCUGAGGCUCGAAAGCGUGGGGAGCAAACAGGAUUAGAUACCCUGGUAGUCCACGCCGUAAACGAUGAUUACUAGGUGUGGGGGGACUGACCCCUUCCGUGCCGCAGCAAACGCAAUAAGUAAUCCACCUGGGGAGUACGACCGCAAGGUUGAAACUCAAAGGAAUUGACGGGGGCCCGCACAAGCAGUGGAGUAUGUGGAUUAAUUCGAAGCAACGCGAAGAACCUUACCAGGUCUUGACAUCGUAUGCAUAGCUCAGAGAUGAGUGAAAUCUCUUCGGAGACAUAUAGACAGGUGGUGCAUGGUUGUCGUCAGCUCGUGUCGUGAGAUGUUGGGUUAAGUCCCGCAACGAGCGCAACCCUUACUGUUAGUUGCUACGCAAGAGCACUCUAGCAGGACUGCCGUUGACAAAACGGAGGAAGGUGGGGAUGACGUCAAAUCAUCAUGCCCCUUAUGACCUGGGCCUCACACGUACUACAAUGGCUGUCAACAGAGGGAUGCAAAGCCGCGAGGUGGAGCGAACCCCUAAAAGCAGUCUUAGUUCGGAUUGUAGGCUGCAACCCGCCUACAUGAAGUCGGAAUUGCUAGUAAUCGCAGAUCAGCAUGCUGCGGUGAAUACGUUCCCGGGCCUUAUACACACCGCCCGUCACGCCAUGGGAGUCGGUAACACCCGAAGCCUGUAGUCUAACCGCAAGGAGGACGCAGUCGAAGGUGGGAUUGAUGACUGGGGUG